rnacentral:rRNA from 1 species
CCUACGGGAGGCAGCAGUGAGGAAUAUUGGUCAAUGGACGAGAGUCUGAACCAGCCAAGUAGCGUGAAGGAUGACUGCCCUAUGGGUUGUAAACUUCUUUUAUAUGGGAAUAAAAUGUUCCACGUGUGGGAUUUUGUAUGUACCAUAUGAAUAAGGAUCGGCUAACUCAGUGCCAGCAGCCGCGGUAAUACGGAGGAUCCGCGCGUUAUCCGGAUUUAUUGGGUUUAAAGGGAGCGUAGGUGGAUUGUUAAGUCAGUUUUGAAAGUUUGCGGCUCAACCGUAGAAUUGCAGUUGAAACUGGCAUUCUUGAGUACAGUAGAGGUGGGCUGAAUUCGUGGUGUAGCGGUGAAAUGCUUAGAUAUCACGAAGAACUCCGAUUGCGAAGGCAGCUCACUGGACUGCAACUGACACUGAGGCUCUAAAGUGUGGGUAUCAAACAGGAUUAGAUACCCCAGUAGUC